CGCCAGACUCCUACGGGAGGCAGCAGUGGGGAAUAUUGCACAAUGGGGGAAACCCUGAUGCAGCGACGCCGCGUGAGUGAAGAAGUAUUUCGGUAUGUAAAGCUCUAUCAGCAGGGAAGAAAAAAGACGGUACCUGACUAAGAAGCCCCGGCUAACUACGUGCCAGCAGCCGCGGUAAUACGCAGGGGGCAAGCGUUAUCCGGAUUUACUGGGUGUAAAGGGAGCGUAGACGGCGAUGCAAGCCAGAUGUGAAAGCCCGGGGCUCAACCCCGGGACUGCAUUUGGAACUGUGUGGCUGGAGUGUCGGAGAGGCAGGCGGAAUUCCUAGUGUAGCGGUGAAAUGCGUAGAUAUUAGGAGGAACACCAGUGGCGAAGGCGGCCUGCUGGACGAUGACUGACGUUGAGGCUCGAAAGCGUGGGGAGCAAACAGGAUUAGAUACCCCGGUAAA
rnacentral:rRNA from 1 species